CGUGUAGGCGGCUUAUUAAGUCAGAUGUGAAAGCCCACGGCUUAACCGUGGAACUGCAUUUGAAACUGAUAGGCUUGAGUAUGAGAAGGGGUAGUGGAAUUCCCAGUGUAGCGGUGAAAUGCGUAGAUAUUGGGAAGAACACCAGUAGCGAAGGCGACUACCUGGCUCAUUACUGACGCUAAUGCGCGAAAGCGCGGGGAGCAAACA
rnacentral:rRNA from 1 species